UGACAGUACUCCUACGGGGAGGCAGCAGUGGGGGAAUAGUUGCACAAUGGGCGCAAGCCUGAUGCAGCCAUGCCGCGUGUAUGAAGAAGGCCUUCGGGUUGUAAAGUACUUUCAGCAGUGAGGAAGGUUCAUACGUUAAUAGCGUAUGGAUUUGACGUUAGCUGCAGAAGAAGCACCGGCUAACUCCGUGCCAGCAGCCGCGGUAAUACGGAGGGUGCGAGCGUUAAUCGGAAUUACUGGGCGUAAAGCGCAUGCAGGUGGUUUGUUUAAGUCAGAUGUGAAAGACCCGGGGCUCAACCUCGGAAUAGCAUUUGAAACUGGCAGACUAGAGUACUGUAGAGGGGGGUAGGAAUUUCAGGUGUAGCGGUGAAAUGCGUAGAGAUCUGAAGGAAUACCGGUGGCGAAGGCGGCCCCCUGGACAGAUACUGACACUCAGAUGCGAAAGCGUGGGGAGCAAACAGGAUUAGAUACCCCUGGUAG
rnacentral:rRNA from 1 species